rnacentral:rRNA from 1 species
UACGAAGGGGGCUAGCGUUGCUCGGAAUUACUGGGCGUAAAGGGCGCGUAGGCGGAUGUUUAAGUCGGGGGUGAAAGCCCGGGGCUCAACCUCGGAAUUGCCUUCGAUACUGGACAUCUUGAGUACGGGAGAGGUGAGUGGAACUCCGAGUGUAGAGGUGAAAUUCGUAGAUAUUCGCAAGAACACCAGUGGCGAAGGCGGCUCACUGGCCCGAUACUGACGCUGAGGCACGAAAGCGUGGGGAGCAAACAGG